AUUGAACGCUGGCGGCAGGCCUAACACAUGCAAGUCGAACGAGUGGCGGACGGGUGAGUAAUGUCUGGGAAACUGCCUGAUGGAGGGGUAUAACUACUGGAAACGGUAGCUAAUACCGCAUACCCUCGGAUGUGCCCAGAGGGGAUUAGCUAGUCGGUGGGGUAAAGGCUCACCGAGGCGACGAUCCCUAGCUGGUCUGAGAGGAUGAACGGCCACACUGGAACUGAGACACGGUCCAGACUCCUACGGGAGGCAGCAGUGGGGAAUAUUGCACAAUGGGCGCAAGCCUGAUGCAGCCAUGCCGCGUGUAUGAAGAAGGCCUUCGGGUUGUAAAGUACUUUCAGCGGGGAGGCGUUACCCGCAGAAGAAGCACCGGCUAACUCCGUGCCAGCAGCCGCGGUAAUUC
rnacentral:rRNA from 1 species